rnacentral:rRNA from 1 species
GGGGAAUUUUGGACAAUGGGCGCAAGCCUGAUCCAGCCAUGCCGCGUGAGUGAAGAAGGCCUUCGGGUUGUAAAGCUCUUUCGGCUGGGAAGAAAUCGCAUCUCCUAAUACGGGGUGUGGAUGACGGUACCAGCAUAAGAAGCACCGGCUAACUACGUGCCAGCAGCCGCGGUAAUACGUAGGGUGCGAGCGUUAAUCGGAAUUACUGGGCGUAAAGCGUGCGCAGGCGGUUUCGUAAGACAGAUGUGAAAUCCCCGGGCUUAACCUGGGAACUGCGUUUGUGACUGCAAGGCUAGAGUACGGCAGAGGGGGGUGGAAUUCCUGGUGUAGCAGUGAAAUGCGUAGAGAUCAGGAGGAACACCGAUGGCGAAGGCAGCCCCCUGGGCCUGUACUGACGCUCAUGCACGAAAGCGUGGGGAGCAAAC